GGGGUCGACUGGUUUUGACAGCGAGAUUAAUUGAACAGUAAGCACGUGGUGUAAUGAUUUUGAAACACCUAAAAGGCUAAAUCAAACUUUAAACGGCGAAAAUAACUACGCUUUAGCUGCUUAAUAACUGAAUUAUAGUAAGUUCAAGCCUCGGCGCACAAGGUGCGCAAGCUAAAUGUCUCCGGAAAGCCCUAGUUUAUGGCGUUCUUUUUAGAGGCAUCGUAAAUAUAAACUAAGGUAUUACAGUGCUUUGAUGUAGUACCGAGAUUUAGAAGCUAAGUUUUAAGUGGGUAGUUUUUAGCCAGCUUAUUACCUAAAAUUAAGUAAAGACUAAACGUGUAGAAAGCUCUUUGGUUACUUGUUUGGACGAGGGUUCGAGUCCCUCCGACUCCACAA
rnacentral:tmRNA from 1 species